UCUUACUGCGGAUGUGUCAGUAGAUUUUCGCACAUUUAGUAAGUUGAAACGAGAUAUAAACCUAAAUUCAAACUUGCUUGAUUCGUGGGUAACUAUUCUUGAAUAUAUGGGUAACCCCCGAAAUCUUGUUUGAAAGGUCCCGUAUUCUGAGAUACUAGGUCUUUAUGCUCAGUGAUAUCUGGGGUAUUAUCCCGGGACUUCGGCUGUAUGGAAAUACUGACCUAGUCCCUGGAUAAUACUUUCUACUAAAGCUUUGAAACAUAAGCUUCGCCCUCAGCAUGCUGAUAAAACAAUAAAAUUGAUAGUCGCUGUUGUUGAAAUUCAAAAGAUCCUCUAAAGGGGACCCACCAAAAGUCGAGCCGUCAUCUCUCUGCUGAACGGAAGUUCUGACCUGAGCUCUCACGGUUUCGCAUCUACCCCUUUACGGAUAUCAGCUGUGGUAUACUCACCUGUAAGACUGAAUAUUUGGGAUCUGGAUACGGGAGUAUAUUCAAGUGGAGUGAUACACAAUUAAGUUUAAGUCUCUAAAACAUUAAUAUCAUUUCUCGAAUCAAUUGAAAUUUGUGUUGAGAAUUUAAGAGGACAAACAUACUGACAAUCUAGGUAAAUUGUUUAAAACUUAAAAUGUAAUCAAGCUUAACGGUGUUAGUGAUUGGUCUCAGAAUCUGAUAUGAUCCUCUCGCACGAACUCACAAAAAUAUUGUCUGUAAAUAUUUUAUUUCUGCAUUUUAGUCUAUCAGAAAACCCAAAGAGUUUUUUUUUGUGUGUUUUAGCAUAAAUUUUGAAAAAGUCAAAAAGAUUUUCGACAACUGACAUUGGAAAACUGAUUUUCAAAAUUCCGAGCGCUAAACAUGAUGAGCAGCAUUUGAGGGGGAGUGUUUGUGUAAAACUAAAUGUUUUUUCGAUAAUCUAACCUUUUCAUGUGGUUCAUCAUAGAUAUUUGAGAGAAAGUUUGAGUUAGUGCACGAUUAUAUGUUUGUUUUGGUGCAUAUGAGGGGAGUCAAGUGUAGACAGGUUUCGAUCUUGGAUCUGAAGAUAGAGUGUCAGAUUUCAAUUCCUGAAGACUUCUGUUAGAGCCAAGUCGAUCAAUUCUGAAGAUCUGGAUAGAGUCAGACAAAGAUCCUGAAGAUGUUACUGAAGAACAAAAGAAUGCCAGUAAAUCGAGAGGGAGAGUCUGAAAAUAGAGAGAGAAUAAAACCCAAAGACUGAUCAAGACUGAAGAUGUGAAGACUCGGAGACGGUGCUCGAUAGUCGACUCCAUCAACAUCUGAGGGGGAGUUUGUUGGUGCACUACAUCUGUUGAUUUCGUCUUGGAUCGAAUCUUACACUGAAAUGUAUAGAUUAGGGCUCGAAUUACGAGAAAAUAGGAGAUUGUAUAGAAAUUGGGCUUAGGUUCGCUCAUGUGGUCCAAUUGGUCAUAGGUCCGCUCGAACGGAGAUGUAACUGGUCCGCUCGAACGGUUAAGUGUCUUGGUCCGCUUAUUUUUCAUGUUGCUUGGUCCGCUCGAGUGACAAGAACAUGGUUCGCUUAUUGGGCUGUCCAAUAAGCGAACGGAACAGCCUAUAUAUAGUAGCUGUUCGAGCGAUCCAAGAAGAACAAGUGUGAUUUCUACGCCGAAGCUCUGUUGGUGUGAGAUUUGGACUGUACAACUUGACAAAUCAAUACGAAAGGUGAU
rnacentral:lncRNA from 1 species